rnacentral:rRNA from 1 species
AGCGGUGAAAUGCGUAGAUAUCGAACGGAACGCCGAUGGUGAAGACAGCUGGCUGGGCCUGUCCUGACGCUGAGGCACGAAAGCGUGGGGAGCAAACAGGAUUAGAUACCCUGGUAGUCCACGCCGUAAACGAUGCGCACUGGAUCGGUGCAGGUCUGACCCUGUGCUGGUCGGAGAGAAAUUGGUAAGUGCGCCGCCUGGGGAGUACGGUCGCAAGGCUAAAACUCAAAGGAAUUGACGGGGGCUCACACAAGCGGUGGAGCAUGUUGCUUAAUUCGAUGCAACGCGAAGAACCUUACCUGGGCUUGACAUGUAUGGAUUAGCUUUUGGAAACAUAAGUGACGCCUUCGGGUGGAACAUACACAGGUGCUGCAUGGCUGUCGUCAGCUCGUGCUGUGAAGUGUCGGGUUAAGUCCCUUAACGAGCGCAACCCUUGUCGCUAGUUGCCAGCGAGUCAUGUCGGGGACUCUAGCGAGACUGCCGGUGUCAAACCGGAGGAAGGUGGGGAUGACGUCAAGUCCUCAUGGCCCUUACGCCCAGGGUGGCAAACGUGCUACAAUGGUACGGACAGAGCGACGCGAUGCCGCGAGGCGGAGCAAAUCGCAAAAACUGUGCCCCAGUUCGGAUUGCAGUCUGCAACUCGACUGCAUGAAGCCGGAAUCGCUAGUAAUCGCGGAUCAGCCACGCCGCGGUGAAUACGUUCCUGAGCCUUGUACACACCGCCCGUCAAGUCAUGGAAGCCGGGAGUGCCCGAAGUCGCCUCGAAUCAGGGGUGCCCACGGCAAGUUCGGUGACUGGGACUAAGUCGUAACAAGGUAGCCGUAGGAGAACCUGCGGCUGGAUCACCU